UCAUUCACCUCUGUCUGACCUUUGUAUUGAAUAUAUUAUAUCAGCAAAUUGUGGAUCAGAUGCAGCAAUAAGUUAUUGUACGCGAGCUCCCAUCAUCUGCUUCAUAACAAGAUUUGAAGGAUCAUAUGCGGAGAAUCUUAUGUGGAGAGCUUGUGAUGUAUGCUUUGCUCAGGUCACUCGAUACAGGUUGUGAGUCUUCCUCCCUGUCCACUUCAAAUUCUCCCCAUACAUAAGUUAUGAUGCAAUCUUACACAACGAUGGUCAAUUCCUUUUUUGGAGACUGGAUUGGGGUUUGUUUCUGGAGUCCAGAGAGACGACGAACAGGGGUGAGAUUUGUUUCUCCAAUUUUUUUUGAAUUUCUGUGUAAUUUCUCUUGAAUGCAUAUAGUUGGGCAUAUGAAAUUUAAUAAUUUAUACAGGAGACAUAUUUUGUGGCUGAGUCUCGCUUUGAUAUGUAAUUCUAUUUCUAUUUUAAUA